rnacentral:rRNA from 1 species
UACGUAGGGUGCAAGCGUUGUCCGGAAUUAUUGGGCGUAAAGCGCGCGCAGGUGGUUUCUUAAGUCUGAUGUGAAAGCCCACGGCUCAACCGUGGAGGGUCAUUGGAAACUGGGGAACUUGAGUGCAGAAGAGGAAAGUGGAAUUCCACGUGUAGCGGUGAAAUGCGUAGAGAUGUGGAGGAACACCAGUGGCGAAGGCGACUUUCUGGUCUGUAACUGACACUGAGGCGCGAAAGCGUGGGGAGCGAACAGG